rnacentral:rRNA from 1 species
GGGGGGGGGGAGUCGCAAUAAGACGCUACGCCUACAUAAUCCUCACUUACACCCUACACACCUCGACGAUCCCUAGCUCUUUGACCCGAUGAUCAUCCAGACUCCGCCUGAGACACCCCCCAGACUCCUACGGGACGCACCACUAGGGAAUCUUUCACAAUGGGCGGAAGCCUGAUGGACCAACNCCGCGUGCAGGAUGACGGCCUUCGGGUUGUAAACUGCUUUUAUAAGCGAGAAAUAUGAUGGUAACUUAUGAAUAAGGAUCGGCUAACUACGUGCCAGCAGCCGCGGUCAUACGUAGGAUCCGAGCAUUAUCCGGAGUGACUGGGUGUAAAGAGUUGCGUAGGUGGCAUGAAAAGUAGAUAGUGAAAUCUGGUGGCUCAACCAUUCAGACUAUUAUCUAAACUGCCAAGCUCGAGACCGUUAGGGGUAACUGGAAUUUCUAGUGUAGGAGUGAAAUCCGUAGAUAUUAGAAGGAACACCGAUAGCGUAGGCAGGUUACUGGGACGGUUCUGACACUAAGGCACGAAAGCGUAGGGAGCAAACGGGAUUAGAUA